rnacentral:rRNA from 1 species
CCUACGGGAGGCAGCAGUGGGGAAUAUUGCACAAUGGGGGAAACCCUGAUGCAGCGACGCCGCGUGAGUGAAGAAGUAUCUCGGUAUGUAAAGCUCUAUCAGCAGGGACGAAAAUGACGGUACCUGACUAAGAAGCCCCGGCUAACUACGUGCCAGCAGCCGCGGUAAUACGUAGGGGGCAAGCGUUAUCCGGAUGUACUGGGGGUAAAGGGAGCGUAGACGGCCCUGCAAGUCCGGAGUGAAAGGCCAUGGCUUAACCAUGGUAAGGCUCUGGAAACUGGGGAGCUUGAGUGCGGGAGGGGCAGGCGGAAUUCCUGGUGUAGCGGUGAAAUGCGUAGAUAUUAGGAGGAACACCGGCGGCGAAGGCGGCUUGCUGGACCGUAACUGACGCUGAGGCACGAAAGCGGGGGGAGCAAACGGGAUUAGAUACCCGAGUAGUC